AUCCGUUUCAUACUGUUAUCUACUCUCCGUUCUUUAUUUACGUGCGGCCGCUCGUGCCUAAGACAACGUGAUGUCACGGGAUGUCCAAGUAACUACCCUGUAGGUAGUAGUUCAAGAAUACAGAAAUCGGUGGGUCCUCUACUACUAUGAUGGGUCGUGUACCUUGAGUGUAGCCACGUUACAGGUUGUAGAUGUAGUCACCUGUUAGGUAGUAGUGGGGUACUACCAAAGCAUAUAAGUCUAAGGGGUUAUCUUUCGAAACAGCGGCUACUAAUACUAAGAGUGUACAGG
rnacentral:rRNA from 1 species